rnacentral:rRNA from 1 species
UACGUAGGGUGCAAGCGUUAAUCGGAAUUACUGGGCGUAAAGCGUGCGCAGGCGGUUGUGCAAGACAGAUGUGAAAUCCCCGGGCUCAACCUGGGAAUUGCAUUUGUGACUGCACGGCUAGAGUGUGUCAGAGGGGGGGUAGAAUUCCACGUGUAGCAGUGAAAUGCGUAGAGAUGUGGAGGAAUACCGAUGGCGAAGGCAGCCCCCUGGGAUAACACUGACGCCUCAUGCACGAAAGCGUGGGGAGCAAACAGG